CAAGCAUAUUUGUACAUGUCUUGGUCUGUUUCCUGUUGCUACAGCAAAAACCUGAGUCUGGGUACACUAUAAAGAAAUGUUGAUUCAGCUCAAGGAUUUGGAAGCUGAAAGUCCAAGACAGGGUGGCUCCACCGACUCAGUCUCUGAUGAGGGCCUCCCGGGAGCGUCACAAUAUGGUGGGCGGGAUCAGGACGUGGGGCACGAGCCCAGAGCGAGAAAGGAAUCUGCAAAGUGGAGCAGAGGCAGCCUGCUCUUCUGUGACAGCGCGUUCUCACCAGGACGAGCUCACUUUCAGAUCAGCAUUGCCUGCUUCUGAGGGCAGCUCCCCAAACGACCGAAUUAUGGUGCACCUUCCUCAGAGCCUCCUUUGCUAAGAGUUCCUCCAUCUCUCAAAGCCUCCACACUGGGCACCCAACUUUCCACACGCACACCCUUGGGGAACCAACUACAUCCAAACUGUCGCAAUAUGUGUGUUCUUGUACACUACGGUUUUCGUUUCCGAAGCGGAAGAUUCUCAAAGAUUGCGUCGGUGGUGAAGGAGGCGUGGGCAUUCUGAGUGUUAACCCGAAAGGACAGAUGCUGUGUGACACCACCUGGGGACACUCACUCGCUCUGCACACCUCGACGGCCUGUUUCUUCUGACAGUGUCUCCUUAGAAGGCAUGGAGAAGAGUAGACUAGCUGCUAACUUUCCUAAAGAAAACUGACCCUCUACACACGGCACUGGUCAAUUUCACCUGGAAAAAACUGUUAGCUUUGAAGACUUUGAGGAGUGGUCCUGUUCCCAUACUCAAUGAAUUCCCGACUCCUGUCACACCAGCAAGUAGUGAAGACUUUAUGCCAGGUGUGUUUCCUUGUGCAUCACGUAACUGGUGAUUACUUACAAUGGGGGAGACACAGUGCUCCUCGACUCACUGUCUACUCCAUCAUAGCUGAGGAAGUGUCUCCAUACUGUCAUACCCCUUGAGAAGGAGUUAGGUCACACAUAUUUGCCUAGAGCACAAUAUCCGGCCACAGAAAACGUUGGAGCCUUAUUUUAAUCUGGG
ensembl:lncRNA